rnacentral:rRNA from 1 species
GUUAGGAAUAUUGGACAAUGGGCGCAAGCCUGAUCCAGCCAUGCCGCGUGAGUGAUGAAGGCCUUCGGGUUGUAAAGCUCUUUAGCCGAUGAUUAUAAUGACUGUAGUCGGAAAAUAAGCCCCGGCUAACUUCGUGCCAGCAGCCGCGGUAAUACGAAGGGGGCGAGCGUUAUUCGGAAUCACUGGGCGUAAAGCGUGCGUAGGCGGCUUUGCAAGUUGGGAGUGAAAGCCCAGGGCUCAAACCUGGAAUUGCUCUCAAAACUGCAAGGCUCGAAUUCGAGAGAGGAUAGCGGAAUUGUCAGUGUAGCAGUGAAAUGCGUAGAUAUUGACAGGAACACCAGUGGCGUAAGCGGCUAUCUGGACCGAUAUUGACGCUGAGGCACGAAAGCGUGGGGAUCAAACAGGAUUAGAUACCCGGGUAGUCC